rnacentral:rRNA from 1 species
GACGAACGCUGGCGGCGUGCUUAACACAUGCAAGUCGAGCGGAAAGGCCACUUCGGUGGUACUCGAGCGGCGAACGGGUGAGUAACACGUGAGUAAUCUGCCCUUGGCUUUGGGAUAGCCACCGGAAACGGUGAUUAAUACCGAAUAUGCACUACUUCUCGCAUGGGUUGUGGUGGAAAGUUUUUCGGCCAGGGAUGUGCUCGCGGCCUAUCAGCUUGAUGGUGAGGUAAUGGCUCACCAUGGCUUCGACGGGUAGCCGGCCUGAGAGGGUGACCGGCCACACUGGGGACUGAGACACGGCCCAGACUCCUACGGGUGGCAG